GACGAACGCUGGCGGCGUGCUUAACACAUGCAAGUCGAACGGAAAGGCCCUUCGGGGUACUCGAGUGGCGAACGGGUGAGUAACACGUGGGUGAUCUGCCCUGCACUUUGGGAUAAGCCUGGGAAACUGGGUCUAAUACCGAAUAGGACCACGCGCUUCAUGGUGUGUGGUGGAAAGCUUUUGCGGUGGGGGAUGGGCCCGCGGCCUAUCAGCUUGUUGGUGGGGUAAUGGCCUACCAAGGCGACGACGGGUAGCCGGCCUGAGAGGGUGACCGGCCACACUGGGACUGAGAUACGGCCCAGACUCCUACGGGAGGCAGCAGUGGGGAAUAUUGCACAAUGGGCGCAAGCCUGAUGCAGCGACGCCGCGUGAGGGAUGACGGCCUUCGGGUUGUAAACCUCUUUCAAUAGGGACGAAGCGCAAGUGACGGUACCUAUAGAAGAAGCACCGGCCAACUACGCG
rnacentral:rRNA from 1 species